rnacentral:lncRNA from 1 species
ACGGGAACGUGGUGGAGGCGGCUAAGGAAGGUAUUCAGCGGGCACAGAGGGGUGAUCUGAUGAAGACAACACAAAGCUCGCUGCUCCAGGGGCUCCUUCUCAGAAGAAGCCCUCGGGCUUGCUUAUCUGCUUCGAGAAAGCAUUAAGAGCUAAUCUCAGCUCAGAGAGUGGGUGGGAUGUUUCGGCAACAAAGAGAAAUUCUUCUUUUGCUGCAAGGCAGAAUGGCAUGGUUGUUCCUGUCCAGAGAUGCUUCAGAGAAAGGCGAUGAGGUUCAAAUUAGGCUCCCCAGGGGCGUUCAUUUGCCUGGUCUGUUAAGGAAUGCUUGGAUGUGCAGGGGCACACCUCCAGGAUGCCCUUUGUUUUCAUUAACUCUGAGUAUUGUUUGUCCUGAAAUAUUAGGAAGAAGAGAUGCCUGUUGACUGUCUUUAUUUUGACUCCAUGGCUCUCAAACAGAGUUUCCAUGUCACAGGAGCAACUAUAAUUUACCUCGUUGUUUCUGCUCUUAUCUGAUCUCUCUUACUACAGGAAUGUCCUGGGUCUUGAAGUAUCUGAAGCUUCUUCUAACAGACAAACGGGGUUGGAAAGAUGGCUCAGUGGUGAAGGGCGUGCACUGCUCUUCUCGAGGACCUGAGUUCAGAUCCCAGCACCUACAUCAGAUCACUCUCCAUCACCUGUGACUCCAACUCUAGGGAGAACAAACAUCCCUGGCCUCUACUGGCAUUUGCUCUCACAUGUAUAUAUGUCACCCAAACAUAAACACACAAUUUAAAAUAAUAAAAAUCAAUCU